AUGACAACAACCAUAGGAUCUGGCUUGUCUUCCUAUGCACAGAUAGAGGAGAUUCUGCCUGGGAUAGUAGUUCUGUAUGUCCUAGAAGCAGCAACCCUGGUCCUGUCAAUAUUUGGGGUCUAUGGCGCUCGGAAGGAGAAGAAAUGGGUUGUGGUUCUGUUUUCUGUAGGUAUGUCACUGGCCAGCCUAUACCUGUUUGUGGAGUGCGUGAAAGCAUAUCAUUCCAAACACGAGAUGGAGGAGUUAACCAGAGAGGAACAUCUAGCUAUGAUGCCUCUGGUGGAGCGAAACAAAAGAUAUAGAAACGAUAUACAACAUACAGACUAACUUCAAAUGCUGUGGGCUCGUACAAGGCUACCAAGACUGGGGCACAGACAUCCCCAUCUCCUGUCUCUGUUCUGAUGAGGACUCAACAGACUUUAAAUGUGUUGCUCCUGGUAACAAUACAAGAUUUGUUAUUCACUAUCCCAAUAGUAAUUCAUCUGAGGAUGAUGACCACAAGGGAUUAAUGGAUGAACACAUUCUGGUAUAUGAAAAGCCAUGUCUUCCCAUCCUGAUCUCAGUCGAGAGCAAUGCAAUCAGCCUGGGAAUAGGAAUAUUAGUAGCACUGACAGCAUUAUGGGAUGUUGGAGUUGUCCUGGCCAUCACAAUACUCUGCCAGAUGAGAAGAAAGGUUGAUGUGCCACCUGUGAUCUUCACCUCUCAACCACCUCAAUACAGGGAGCUGUGUGACACAGCAGAGAGUGUCUGAAAUGAAAUGGUCCUCUUAUGAAGGAGACUCAAUGCACUAGUCUGAGUGCCAGUCUGUUUGUGCCAUCAUGACAACUCCUGUCACUCAUUUGUGUCAAGCCAAACAUGACAAUGGGUGACAAAGAGUUGGCUUGGCAAUGACAGCAAUGGAGUUGUCAUUGGCCAGACCACAAACAGAUCUGGGAUCAGGUUAGCAAUGCAUCCAUAUUAUGUACAUACUCAUAACACACAUGAAAGGACAACUCAGGACAUUAUUAGACAUUAGACAUCUCUACUGUGUUGUCCAAAGUAUUACUGUUCAACUGAUUAUCCAUCUGACUGCCAGCAAGAGUCUUCUUAUUGGCUGUCAAAGGUUCUGUAAAACCUGUGGUUUGUUUUUCUGUUGUAAAUAAUUGGUAACCAUUUAACCAUUGAAGUGCCUCAGUGUUGGUUACAGUGUCUUGAAUAAAGGGACAAGCAUCUUUUAA